UACGUAGGUGGCAAGCGUUGUCCGGAGUUAUUGGGCGUAAAGCGCGCGCAGGCGGUGCGGUAAGUCUCUGGUGAAAGCGCUCGGCUUAACUGGGCGAGGGCCGGGGAGACUGCCACGCUGGAGGGGAGCAGAGGCGAGUGGAAUUCCGGGUGUAGUGGUGAAAUGCGUAGAUAUCGGGAGGAACACCAGUGGCGAAGGCGAUCACCUGGGGUUGUUCUGACGCUGAGGAGCGAAAGCUAGGGGAGCAAACAGG
rnacentral:rRNA from 1 species